rnacentral:rRNA from 1 species
GAUGAACGCUGGCGGCGUGCCUAAUACAUGCAAGUCGAACGCAUUGUGGUUGAAAUGAUAUGAAGAACUUGUUCAGAUUUGAUUUUCAACAUUGCAAUGAGUGGCGAACGGGUGAGUAACACGUGGGAAACCUACCUCUUAGCAGGGGAUAACAUUUGGAAACAAAUGCUAAUACCGUAUAAUAAUUAAAACCGCAUGGUUUUAGUUUAAAAGAUGGUCUUGCUAUCACUAAGAGAUGGUCCCGCGGUGUAUUAGUUAGUUGGUGAGGUAAUGGCUCACCAAGACAAUGAUACAUAGCCGAGUUGAGAGACUGACCGGCCACAAUGGGACUGAGACACGGCCCAUACUCCUACGGGAGGCAGCAGUAGGGAAUCUUCCACAAUGGACGAAAGUCUGAUGGAGCAACGCCGCGUGUGUGAUGAAGGGUUUCGGCUCGUAAAACACUGUUGUAAGAGAAGAAUGACAUUGAGAGUAACUGUUCAAUGUGUGACGGUAUCUUACCAGAAAGGAACGGCUAAAUACGUGCCAGCAGCCGCGGUAAUACGUAUGUUCCAAGCGUUAUCCGGAUUUAUUGGGCGUAAAGCGAGCGCAGACGGUUAUUUAAGUCUGAAGUGAAAGCCCUCGGCUCAACCGAGGAAUUGCUUUGGAAACUGGAUAACUUGAGUGCAGUAGAGGAAAGUGGAACUCCAUGUGUAGCGGUGAAAUGCGUAGAUAUAUGGAAGAACACCAGUGGCGAAGGCGGCUUUCUGGACUGUAACUGACGUUGAGGCUCGAAAGUGUGGGUAGCAAACAGGAUUAGAUACCCUGGUAGUCCACACUGUAAACGAUGAGUGCUAGUUGUUCGAGGGUUUCCGCCCUUG